rnacentral:misc_RNA from 1 species
UUUCCGUAGGUGAACCUGCGGAAGGAUCAUUAUUGGAUUUUGAAACUUCAGGCUGCUGCUGGCUCUCCUCGGAGGGCAUGUGCACGCUUGUUGUCCAUUAUUUCUCCCACUGUGCACAAAUUGUAGACCUUUCAGUAGGCCUAUGUUGUUUUUCACAAUCUCUGAAUGUAAUAGGAUGGUUUUGAAUCUUGGGAAAUACAAUACAACUUUCAGCAACGGAUCUCUUGGCUCUC